rnacentral:rRNA from 1 species
AUUGAACGCUGGCGGCAGGCCUAACACAUGCAAGUCGAACGAGUGGCGGACGGGUGAGUAAUGUCUGGGAACCUGCCUGAUGGAGGGGGAUAACUACUGGAAACGGUAGCUAAUACCGCAUACCAUCGGAUGUGCCCAGAUGGGAUUAGCUAGUAGGUGGGGUAAAGGCUCACCUAGGCGACGAUCCCUAGCUGGUCUGAGAGGAUGACCAGCCACACGGGAACGGGGACACGGUCCAGACGCCUACGGGAGGCAGCAGUGUGGUAUAUUGCACAAUGGGCGCAAGGCUUAUGCAGCCAGGCCGAGUGUAUGAAGAAGGCCUUCGGGUUGUAAAGUACGUUCAGCGGGGAGGCGUUACCCGCAGAAGAAGCACCGGCUAACUCCGUGCCAGCAGCCGCGGUAAUUC